AUGACCUGGCGGAUGCUUUCACAUGCAAGUCGAGCGGCAGCGCGGGGCAACCUGGCGGCGAGCGGCGAACGGGUGAGUAAUACAUCGGAACGUACCCAGACGUGGGGGAUAGCCCGGCGAAAGCCGGAUUAAUACCGCAUGUGAUCUGAGGAUGGAAGCGGGGGAUCGCAAGACCUCGCGCGUUUGGAGCGGCCGAUGGCAGAUUAGGUAGUUGGUGGGGUAAAGGCUUACCAAGCCUACGAUCUGUAGCUGGUCUGAGAGGAUGAUCAGCCACACUGGGACUGAGACACGGCCCAGACUCCUACGGGAGGCAGCAGUGGGGAAUUUUGGACAAUGGGCGAAAGCCUGAUCCAGCCAUUCCGCGUGCAGGACGAAGGCCUUCGGGUUGUAAACUGCUUUUGUACAGAACGAAAAGGCUUUGGCUAAUAUCUAGAGCUCAUGACGGUACUGUAAGAAUAAGCACCGGCUAACUACGUGCCAGCAGCCGCGGUAAU
rnacentral:rRNA from 1 species